rnacentral:rRNA from 1 species
GAUCAUGGCCGGGGUGCCCCGCUCCCGCCGGGUCGGGACCGGUGGGACUGUUCGAGUGCGUCACCGCGACCAUGGCUCGGCGCCGGCUGCGGGUGUGCCACCGACUGCGGGCGCCCGGGGUCUGCGGUGAGGGUCGGCCA